GAUGAACGCUGGCGGCGUGCCUAAUACAUGCCAGUCGAGCGAACGGACGAGGAGCUUGCUCCUCUGACGUUAGCGGCGGACGGGUGAGUAACACGUGGAUAACCUACCUAUAAGACUGGGAUAACUUCGGGAAACCGGAGCUAAUACCGGAUAACAUGUUGAACCGCAUGGUUCAACAGUGAAAGACGGUCUUGCUGUCACUUAUAGAUGGAUCCGCGCCGCAUUAGCUAGUUGGUAAGGUAACGGCUUACCAAGGCAACGAUGCGUAGCCGACCUGAGAGGGUGAUCGGCCACACUGGAACUGAGACACGGUCCAGACUCCUACGGGAGGCAGCAGUAGGGAAUCUUCCGCAAUGGGCGAAAGCCUGACGGAGCAACGCCGCGUGAGUGAAGAAGGUCUUCGGAUCGUAAAACUCUGUUAUUAGGGAAGAACAAAUGUGUAAGUAACUAUGCACGUCUUGACGGUACCUAAUCAGAAAGCCACGGCUAACUACGUG
rnacentral:rRNA from 1 species